GCCAAUCUCCAGCUUCUAUCAAUUCAUUUCUCUAACAGAAAGUAGGUGUCGACUUUGUAGACGGAAAAUAAUCUCCCUGCAAAUAUUACCAGAGAGGUUCCUAGCACUCCUUGACACUUUUAUGAUUACUUCUGUUUCAAGUUAAGGGGAGGAAUUCUGCAUUUGCCAGGUCAGAUGGCGAAAACAUAUGGAGUUUUAAACUUGGUAUUAGUUUUAACGUCAGAGGGAAAAACAAGAGACAAAGGACAAAUGUGUUGGCUGCGCGCUGAGCACAUCGACGAGCACCUCACAGGAUCCUGGCUUUCCUCCUAACUUCCCACCCACACUUUCAGAGCCUGAAACAUCAGUGUGGGUUGAAGGGGAUUACUCCGCAGCACCUGAGCAGCCAGCUCAGAGGUGGGCAGAGGAAGUGACUUGGCAGGACCUGUUUAUAAACACUGGUGAUCAGCUCAUUGACAAGUUUUUCAGGCUCAACUGACUAUUAGAGACAGAUUUUGGCUUUGAUUCCAGAAUGAUGUUUCACAGAAAGUCAACUCUUGCUCCAGGUGAAUCCUGUGCUGCCGCUGGUGUGUCUCCUUCCAUCCCUGGCCUUCGUGAAGGCCUGGCUAAAUAGCCACUUGGUUUAAAGAACAUGGCCUUUGGAGCGUCUAGGCAGCCUGGCUUCAGUGACUGGUGACGCCCCAACUCUGCCUGGCUUCGCAGAUGCCCACCUCUCUUCUAAGCACUUGGAGACGUCAGCAGAUUCAGCGUUUCCAUCACUGCCAGAGCCUGCAGCUUCCUUGCCAAAUGUUGGCUGAAUGAAUUAAGCAAAACAACAACUGGUCCUGAGGCAAGAGUGAAAAGAGGUUGUCCCUGCACUAGGGAUAUUCAAGGACCAAAACUGUUCAGAAAGAGAAGAGUCUAAUGCCUUAGACACCAAACACCGUGUGCCGAGUUCGUUGUUGACGGAGGAAUACCGGCCGGAAGGUGCCUCUCUACCCUCCUCCUGCCACAGCUGUCUUCAGAAUCCCUGGCAUCACACCCCAGAGGCAGCUGGGUCAGCCGCAGGGACCAGGUGAGGGAGCGAGACAGCUAUUGCAGGUUGCCCAGCCAGCUGUGGCAGUGGCUGUGGGAAGGUGUGAGGCCACCAAGGCUUAUAUAAGGAGGAGGGAGAACACAGGGCAAAGGGGAAGAAGUUAUGCUGACUUCGAUUGGCUCACUUCACAUGAGGCCGACUGAGGGAGGAGGGGGAGAGAGGGCGAGAGGACGCUUUUGAAAGCGUGAUAGUGUCUCAUCUGUAUUCAAAUCGACCUCAGGAGGGCAUUCCAACUUCAGGUUACUCACAAAGUAUCUGCAGAAGAGGAAGCCUGGAAAUGCCACCCCCAGCAUGGAGGAGGGGAGGCACUCAGGUCUGAAUUUGUUUCCAAACCACCGCUCUGUCCUUGAAGCGAGGCUGUCUCAAAAACUGGAGAGAGAAAUUCCAGAGAGAGACGGUGCGAAAGCUUUCUCAUUGUGUGAACACGCCUGCCUGCGAGGAGAAUGCCUCUUCCUGAGGGAUGAAACCAGGAGUCGAGAGAGUUUAUUCGUGGAGCCCUAGUGAAGAUUUCCACUAAGAAGGAACUUGUAAUUUUAUGCUAGUCCCUAGAGAGGAAGAUUUAGUACAUAGUUGAAUUUUCAAACAAAUUAUCUUCCAGAAUAAAGAAUGAACGAUACCAACCCCUUGCAAACAAUAUUCUUGUUUUACAAAUCUAUCACUUUUCAA